CCAUUAGAUGAAGAUGAGAUGAUCUUGUACAUCCUCAUUGGCAUCGAUGUUGAUUACAAUCCAAUCGUGUUCGCUAUUGUUCCACGAGUGGAACCAAUGUCAGUCAAUGAGUUGUAUGCUCAACUUCUAAGUUUCAAAA